rnacentral:rRNA from 1 species
CAGUCGCCACGGGAACACGUAGGUGGCGAGCGUUGUCCGGAUUUAUUGGGCGUAAAGCGAGCGCAGGCGGUUAGAUAAGUCUGAUGUGAAAGCCCACGGCUCAACCGUGGAGGGUCAUUGGAAACUGUUAAACUUGAGUGCAGGAGAGAAAAGUGGAAUUCCUAGUGUAGCGGUGAAAUGCGUAGAGAUUAGGAGGAACACCAGUGGCGAAGGCGGCUUUUUGGCCUGUAACUGACACUGAGGCGCGAAAGCGUGGGGAGCAAACAGGAUUAGAUACCCCCGUAGUCCCUGUCUCUUAUAC